UACGAAGGGGGCUAGCGUUGUUCGGAAUCACUGGGCGUAAAGCGCACGUAGGCGGAUGUGCCAGUCAGGGGUGAAAUCACGGAGCUCAACUUCGGAACUGCCUCUGAUACAGCACGUCUUGAGUCCGGAAGAGGUGGGUGGAAUUCCUAGUGUAGAGGUGAAAUUCGUAGAUAUUAGGAAGAACACCGGUGGCGAAGGCGGCCCACUGGUCCGGUACUGACGCUGAGGUGCGAAAGCGUGGGGAGCAAACAGG
rnacentral:rRNA from 1 species